UUGAUAUUUCUCCGUUCAACAAAGGAUGUCUAAACUUUGACUAAAUUUGAAUGCAUCUACACAGUAAGUCAUAUCUAGAUACAUUCAAAUUUUGACAAAUUUGAGACAUUUUUGAUUGAACGGAGGGAGUAUCAA
rfam:Brachypodium distachyon strain Bd21 chromosome 1, whole genome shotgun sequence.